rnacentral:tRNA from 1 species
GCUCAGUGUCCUCGUAGUAUAGUGGUCAGUAUCCCGCCUGUCACGCGGGAGACCGGGGUUCGAUUCCCCCCGGGAGUA